AUUGCUUUCAGGCCCUCCCCUAUCUCCUUUGUUUGAAGUAUUUUUUCAGGGCGGCGGCACCACCACCAACCAAUCAGAAAAAAGAGCGGAUCAAAGUAUAAAGUCUGAGACUUCCGUCGCCCAAAAACCUAUUAAAUCUCUCUCUGUUGACUCCCAAUCUCCGUCAGAAACAAUCGCUAACCACGAUGUCAUUCACCGGAACCACGCUCUCCGCCGGCGGAGGCGGCAAGCCCUUCUUCUGCUACCAAUGCAACCGCACUGUCACCGUUACGGUCUCGCCCGCUGAUGACCCCUUCUGUCCUCUUUGCAACGGAGGCUUCCUGGAGGAAUACGAAAACCCUAACCCCAGCCCCACCACCGAUUCAAACCCGGCACGGCACCUGAAUCCUUUUGCCGACCCAUUUUUCUCCUCAUCGGAUCCCUUCGCCUCCUUUCUCCCCCUCCUGUUUCCUUCCUCUCCCAGCGAUCUCCAAAAUCCUACUUUCAUUGGAACAGCAUCCAGGUCCCGAUCCGGCUCCGUUGACCAUGCGGAGUUCGACCCGUUCGCCUUUCUCCAGAACCAUCUACAGCACCUCAGGUCAGGUGGGGCUCAAAUUCAGUUCGUGAUCGAGAACAACCCAUCGGAUUCAGGGUUUCGUCUGCCAUCCAAUAUCGGGGAUUAUUUCGUCGGGCCCGGUCUUGAACAGCUGAUUCAGCAACUUGCCGAGAACGAUCCGAAUCGAUAUGGGACUCCGCCUGCGUCUAAAUCGGCGAUUGAUACGCUGCCGACUGUCAAGGUGACCCAUGAAUUCUUGAAUACUGAAAUGAACCAGUGUGCAGUUUGCAUGGAUGAGUUCGACCUAGGUGCUGAGGCCAAGCAGAUGCCGUGCAAGCAUUUGUACCACAAGGAUUGUAUCUUGCCGUGGCUCGAAUUGCAUAAUUCGUGCCCUGUCUGUCGGCACGAGUUACCCACUGAUGAUCCGGACUAUGAGAGGAGGAGGGUCGGUGGCAACCAAGGGAGCUCUGGAAGUGAUGGUCCUGGUGGGGAGGCGCAGAGUGAGAAUCAAGCAGCAGAGAGGCGGUUUCGGAUAUCUUUGCCAUGGCCGUUUGGGGGACAUGGGUCAACCAGUGAUGGUGGGGCGGGGAGCUAGACAAGAAGAUAUUGAUGGAAGAUAAUAUUUCAAAUUCGAUUCUUCCUCAUUGCUAAGCAAGGGAAAUUGGUUUUCACACCAAUUCAUUUUUCAAGGCAUUGGACUUGGUUGCUUGAAGGACUUGAAAUCUCCACUAUAUUGUGGGAGGAUGGAGGGAAGAUGCUGGUUGCUUGUGGAUUGCAUAUUUAUAACUGGUGUGAAUUCUAAUAAAAAAGAUGCUGAAAACUCAAGAGUUUUGGUUUGCUAUUUCUUUGCUGGGUCCAUAAUAAUACAUACCUUAUAUGAAGGUUAUACAUCACACACCCAGCACCUCCUAACCAACCUUUGAUCUCGGAAGUUGAAGCUUGGCAAUUCCUUGCAUCUGACAAAUCCAAGGAUAAAUUAUUGCUCUUGAUCCUUCAUACUACUUGGUGGUUAAUAUGGAAAGAAUGGAAUUCGAGAAUAUUCCAUGAUAAGGACUGCUCGAUUGUAGUUUUUUGGAUGGAUUGACCCUGGUUGAAUGGAAUGUGUACUAAUAUUUUUGAUUGUUUCAAAUUUUCAGAAGUGUUAUCCUUGUUAGUUCUGGGUUGCACCCCCUUGGUGCAGUUAAUAAAUCUUUUCUAUUAAAAAAA